ACCAUCUGUUAUCCCAGAAAAGUAACUGCUUUUACAGAAAAUUUGGAUUUUUCAAAACCAAAUAAAUGUUAUUUUGUGUGUUUACUUAAUUUGAAGACUAUUUUCAAAUGAACAAGAAUUGAAAAUUCAGUAUUGGUCAUUUUAAAGAUGGUAGAUGUAUUUCAGCCCAAGCUUGACAAAAGGAAUAGGUAAUUUAGGAACCACCCACCUUAGCUUUUCAAAGACAAUACAGUAGAGGGAGAACCCAUGGAAAGGCCUCAGCAAGGGAGAUAUCAUGUUUUUCUGAUCUAGCAUUAGCUUCAGGAAUUGAUGUCAAAGUUCAUUCGCCUGUCUCCUAGAGGGUAAGGCAGUCAGGAGCCCACCUGUCCCAUGGACAAAGCAGGGAAGCCCUUUUCAUUACACAUGAUUCCAUUGGAUGGAAUAUCUCCUCUUAUUCUAUCCUGACCUCGAGAUGAAUAACCCUGCCCUCACAUCCCUUUUGGCACAGAACAAAAUCACUGGAUAAACGCUGACCUUCAGUUUUCCUGCAUAUGUGUAGCCAUGGCCAAGGUAAACUGGUCUCUUGGGUUUAUUUUGAGCUGAAAUUAGCUGA
rnacentral:lncRNA from 1 species